CCAUCGCAUUGUCCCCAAUAUAAAGAUGAGCAAAGAGAGGCUUCCUCCAGGCAGCCAGACCAGAGCCAGAUCCGGUGCAGCAGACACCUGCCAACAUCCCCUCUCCAGAGCCAGGCCACUGGGGCACCUGCCAGCAACCCGAGGCCUCCUUCAACCCUCUGCGGCUCCGCAGGCUGUGAGCAGAAAGCUCACCCCCAGCACACAGCGGAUCCUGGCUCCACCUCACCAAGGCAAGCGACAAAGGGCUGCAUUCGGCUCCCCGGGGCCUCCCGAAGCCCGGCCUGACAGCCGUCACCCAGCUCAGCAGCCCAGCCCGGCGGCGAAGCAUGACUCAGCGCUUCUCCUCUCGAGCGGGGAACGCCACCCCUCCGCAUCCGUCCGCCCAGCUCAGGAAAACAAAAUGACUGUGACCUCAGACACUGGAAGACAUUCAGGCUGCAUUCAAGUCCGGACAGCGAGGGAGCUGGGGCCGGCACAGCCUCCUGCAAAAGGGGCGAGACAAGACGGUGCCUCAGAAGGUUGGCAUGCCUGGCUCAUGCUUAGCAAGAACCUGGCCUCAUGGUGCUAUGCUGCCGUCGUGCUGAGCUCCAGCCUCCUGCAUGCCCCUUACCCUUCCUCUCUGAUCUUGGAGAGAUCUCCACACCCACCUUUCCUAUCUCUCAGUUCUGCCAAAGCACCCACCCCAUGCUGGCAUGAGCCUCACUUGCAGGGAUGCCCUGGACACACUGCAAUGGCCCACCCAUGCUUCAGUCCCUCAGCUCUGAGCCGUGCCUGGGACCCCAGAGUUGGUAUCUCUAGAUUUGCUGGACCCCAAGACUCGGCACCAGUCCCAAGGGAGUGCUCCUGCAUCCUCUUCAAGCUGUCUCUCCAUUCACUGCAGCACCCCCACUCCCCCAUCAGAGCCAAGGCCUCCCUCUGCCUCCCGGCUACUGGCACCUACUCAGUCACAGAAUCCACUGCUUCCUGGUCCGUAUCUGCUCACGUCCCUGUCCCCUCGGGCUGGAACCUGAACUCCAGCACCCACUUUCUGUGCAGAGUGCUCCCUGUCUUUCAAUCGCCUGCUGUGUGCACACAUGUUGUGGCACAGGUUAGUGCAGCAGACAGACAGGACCCUGCUCCCACGGGGUGCUUCUCCUAGUGGCUCAAGAGGGGCACUAGGAGGCGAGCGUGCACUGAGGAGACCAUGGUGGAUGGAGAAGAGAGGAGGGUGCUGGAGGGCAGAUGCCCGGCUGGGAGGGGUCCUGUGAGAAGGGAGGGGACACUGUAUAAGGAGAAAUUUGGCAGCAGCCCUCCAGAGGCUCUGGCAGCUUCCACCUGCUUGGGUCUCUACCCAGAGACAGUCCUAGCCCCUGACCCCUCCCAGUGCCAGCACACCGCCUCCCCGUCCUCUCGCCCACCGCCUCAGCCCUCCUGCCAGCUUCUGACCACCAUCACCUCUCCUUCCCCAAAAGAAGCCGGUCUCAUGGGGCAGAGAAUGACCUCCUGGAGCCAGGGGACACCGUAGCCCCCCUCUCGGCCUCACACACUCCCCCGGCAGCUGUGCCUCCAGCUCUCUGCUGUUGCUCCUCCGCUGCUUUUGGAGUUUCGCUCCUUCUGAUGGACUUUCCUCGAGUCUCCGCGUGCCUGUCUCCCCAGCCUGCCUCCGUGGACAUAGAGCACAUACAGAAAAGGACAGUAUGGACCGGACUGUGCCCCACCCACCACCCAGACCCCUGCGUGGCAGCCCAAUGCCAUGGUGUUUGGGGGUGGAGCCUUCGGGAGGUGAUUGGGGCCAGAUGGGGGUCACAGAGGGUUCUGUGGUGGAAUCCUACCUUUAUUAAAAAAAAAAAAAAGAAGAAGAAAACUCACCUGCUUCCUCCUGAGACUCACACGUGUGGGCUCCUGGGGAGAAAGACGGGCCACCUACGAACCAGGAAGAAAACCUCACUGUGGAGCAGAGCGGCCAGAGCCUCGACCUUGGGCCUCCAACUUCCAGAGCUCUGAGAUAGUAAGUUCUGUCACUUAAGCCGCCCAAUCCAUGGUGGCUUGCUAUGGCAGCCCGUGUGCAAAUUGGACAUUGGGCCCUGUGGAUAUCGAGCACCUGUGGCUGCCCCCAUGGCAGGAACCCUAGUGACAGACCAGUGCCCCACAAAAACACAGAGACCUUGCGUCCUUCCUUUCUGCCAAGUGGGGACAGAGCAAAAAGACCACCAGCUCCAAGUCAUGGGAUCCCUGCAGCCUCCAGAGCCACGAGGAGUCUGCAUCCUGUGUAAGUCAUCUGGUGGUGGCACGUGGGUUACAGCAGCCCUGGUUAAGGUGCCACCCAUACAUGACCCCUCCUUGAACUGUAACACUACGGCUUCCCUGUUCUGGAGAGUUCCAGCAGCAGACUGGGGGUGUGAAUGCUGCCGACCUGCUGUCCUGCUCAGCAUUCUCUGCGGUCCACUCGGUGGUAUACCUGCAGCUGUGACCUGUUCGUUUGCUGUGGAAACGCAGCAACUUGCCCUUAGCACGGGCACUGCGGUGCCUUCAGUUUGGAAGCUGUGAAGUUCCUGGGUCAGCAUUUACACGCACAUGGUGCCAGAACGGCCACUCAACAGUCUCUGGACAUCUAACUGUAGUUGCAGAGGGCAAGCAGUCUUCUUAGAGGACCCAGGCUGAUGGAGCAGCUCCACGUUUGGACAGUGGGCUCGUGCAGAACUAAGAGAGACCUGGGGCCAUGAGCUCACUCCUGUGGCACCACUGGCCUCAGUGGAACACAGGGGACCGUCUUCCUCCAGGAAGGAGCUGCAAUCAUUUUGCACCACAAGACAGUCUACCAUCGCUCCCAUUUUACAAAUUAAAGAAACAGGUGCUGAGUCAUUUUUUCCUGACUCACAACUCCUACGUGGCAGUGCUGAGAUUUACCCAGGUCUGAGUGGAUCCAGAGCUUAUUGGGUCGGCCCACAAAAGCUAGUACUAACCUAGCCACUCUGCCAGCAUCCCCCUCCAGAGCCCAGGGCCAAGCUUCCAGGUGGUCUCAGCUCAUUCUAGCACUGAGAUCCAUCUGUUUUCGCCUCUAGGCUGAAAGAGUGUCACGUGGCUCUUCCUUCCAGUGCCAUGAUGGACCCGAUCCCACCCACUCACCCCAGUCUAGUUCACCAGGCCUGGGGAUGGAGAAUGUCUCAGAAACAGGCCACGACCCAGCAAAGGGAAGUGAGCCCACAUGGAAGGGCCUAGAGCUACUGCUUAGCCCGGCACCCCCAAGGUCCCCAGGGUGUUCUGCACAGGACACCCAGAAAUAAAGGAAGGUGGAAAAGUUGUGAUCCUGAACCCAAACGUAAUUGCCAAAACCCCUCUGGGGUGUGUCAUUCCAGGUUAGUUGUCUCUUCAUUUUUUUACUUCUAUUUGUUUUAAUGACAUGUUUCAAAUACGCGGAGACAUGAAGGAUGAGCACUCCCCGCCUUCUGAUCGCUGAUUCAGGAUGGAUCAAUCUUUCCAAUCCGACAUUCUUGCUUCAGCCCUUUUCACUUCAGAAAUAAAACCAGAAAAAGAGAAGGCGGACGCUUCCUCACAGCCUCCUUAAUUCCCUCUUCCCUUUCUCUUUCCGAAGGCAAACACUUUCCCCGAGUUGGUGCUU